UUUAUGGAGAGUUUGAUCCUGGCUCAGAGUGAACGCUGGCGGCGUGCCUAAUACAUGCAAGUCGAACGAUGAAGCUUCUAGCUUGCUAGAGUGCUGAUUAGUGGCGCACGGGUGAGUAACGCAUAGGUCAUGCGCCUCUUAGUUUGGGAUAGCCAUUGGAAACGAUGAUUAAUACCAGAUACUCCCUACGGGGGAAAGAUUUAUCGCUAAGAGAUCAGCCUAUGUCCUAUCAGCUUGUUGGUAAGGUAAUGGCUUACCAAGGCUAUGACGGGUAUCCGGCCUGAGAGGGUGAACGGACACACUGGAACUGAGACACGGUCCAGACUCCUACGGGAGGCAGCAGUAGGGAAUAUUGCUCAAUGGGGGAAACCCUGAAGCAGCAACGCCGCGUGGAGGAUGAAGGUUUUAGGAUUGUAAACUCCUUUUGUUAGAGAAGAUAAUGACGGUAUCUAACGAAUAAGCACCGGCUAACUCCGUGCCAGCAGCCGCGGUAAUACGGAGGGUGCAAGCGUUACUCGGAAUCACUGGGCGUAAAGAGCGCGUAGGCGGGAUAGUCAGUCAGGUGUGAAAUCCUAUGGCUUAACCAUAGAACUGCAUUUGAAACUACUAUUCUAGAGUGUGGGAGAGGUAGGUGGAAUUCUUGGUGUAGGGGUAAAAUCCGUAGAGAUCAAGAGGAAUACUCAUUGCGAAGGCGACCUGCUGGAACAUUACUGACGCUGAUUGCGCGAAAGCGUGGGGAGCAAACAGGAUUAGAUACCCUGGUAGUCCACGCCCUAAACGAUGGAUGCUAGUUGUUGGAGGGCUUAGUCUCUCCAGUAAUGCAGCUAACGCAUUAAGCAUCCCGCCUGGGGAGUACGGUCGCAAGAUUAAAACUCAAAGGAAUAGACGGGGACCCGCACAAGCGGUGGAGCAUGUGGUUUAAUUCGAAGAUACACGAAGAACCUUACCUAGGCUUGACAUUGAGAGAAUCCGCUAGAAAUAGUGGAGUGUCUAGCUUGCUAGACCUUGAAAACAGGUGCUGCACGGCUGUCGUCAGCUCGUGUCGUGAGAUGUUGGGUUAAGUCCCGCAACGAGCGCAACCCCCUUUCUUAGUUGCUAACAGGUCAUGCUGAGAACUCUAAGGAUACUGCCUCCGUAAGGAGGAGGAAGGUGGGGACGACGUCAAGUCAUCAUGGCCCUUACGCCUAGGGCUACACACGUGCUACAAUGGGGUGCACAAAGAGAAGCAAUACUGCGAAGUGGAGCCAAUCUUCAAAACGCCUCUCAGUUCGGAUUGCAGGCUGCAACUCGCCUGCAUGAAGCUGGAAUCGCUAGUAAUCGCAAAUCAGCCAUGUUGCGGUGAAUACGUUCCCGGGUCUUGUACUCACCGCCCGUCACACCAUGGGAGUUGUGUUUGCCUUAAGUCAGGAUGCUAAAUUGGCUACUGCCCACGGCACACACAGCGACUGGGGUGAAGUCGUAACAAGGUAACCGUAGGUGAACCUGCGGUUGGAUCACCUCCUUUCUAGA
rnacentral:rRNA from 1 species